UACGUAGGUGGCGAGCGUUGUCCGGAUUUACUGGGCGUAAAGGGCGUGCAGGCGGUUUGUUAAGUGCAGGGUGAAAGCUCCCGGCUCAACUGGGAGAGGUCCUUGCAUACCGGCGAACUCGAGGGAGGCAGAGGAAAGUGGAAUUCCCGGUGUAGUGGUGAUAUGCGUAGAUAUCGGGAGGAACACCUGUGGCGAAGGCGGCUUUCUGGGCCUUACCUGACGCUGAGACGCGAAAGCGUGGGGAGCGAACCGG
rnacentral:rRNA from 1 species